UUCCCCCUGGGGCACCUGGCAUUGGUCACUGGUGAGAGAACACUGGGCUAGAUGGACCUUUGGUCUGAUCCGGUCUGAUCAUUCUAAUGUUCUUAUUUUAUGUAGUAUAGACUAGGGUUUAGUCCCAGAGUGAGAGUAAUAUGGUGAGGGAGAUAAUACCUUUUAUUGGAGCAAUUUCUGUAUUAGCAUCACACCUUCAAAAGAUGAACCCGGGCACUUAAAUUCAUAACUCUGCUGGACACUAAAAACCAUUGGAUUUAAUAGAUAGUGUUUUUUAUGGCCCAUUAUAACAACUUGUAACAUACCGUGCUAUUUUCUAACCCUCCAGUGCCCAGUUUCUGCAGAGGAGUUACUUGGCCACUGUAUUUUAAGUGCUGCACAACACGUAUGUGAAACCCUUAUGUUCUACAUUUUCUUUUUCCAGACCUAAAGAAGAACUCUAUGAAACUCAAGAGCUUGUCCCUUCUGCCAGUAGAAAUUGGUCCAGUAAAAGAUAUUACCUCAUCCACCUUGAUUCUUUCAUAAAUAUAUCGGAUGUGAUUCUUUUUGUGCUUUCUGGAUCUAGCUAAGCAGGACUCAGGUUUCACUAUAUAAACUGGGGUCCAAGAAGGAGACCUGCAAGGAGAGCAGAAAGGGAAACAAGCACAGAAAGGAACAACAACAAGAAGGGGAAAGACCUGGAAGGAGAACUCGCUGCCAAGACACAGCCUAAGACCAGAACUGCCAGGAUUUUCCUGCACGACCAUGACAUGCAGCAGCUAAGAUCCAGAGAGAGACUAAUCCUGCCGGGCUGACAGAGGAAGUCUGCCUGCCUGUACCGGGAUUGGUGAGCAUGACACUGCCAUGUCUACACUACAGAGGAGAGCGAAGCUGUCGCUGUCCAUCUUCCGGGUUCAACCGAGUGGGUCUAGUGAAGGCACACUCAUUCAAACUGAGAGGGUGCUCCUGUUGACAUCGGUGGUCCUGCUCCUACGAGGAAUAAGAGAAGCCGAAGAGAGAGGGUGCUCCCCUUGACCUCUCGCUGUGUGGAUGGCACAAAAAUGUUAUGUAAGAUACUUCGUAAUUAACGUAGGUGGCGUUGCGUCUCUUAAUUUGACCUUAUCUCCUACUGUGGACCUGGCCCCGGAGUAAAUUUUGACUCUUCCCUCAUCCCAUAAAGUGGCAGACCAACAGUGUCUGCACGGUCAUGGCUGCUACAAUGGGGAAGAACUCGCCAUUAGCAAAGGCAGCUCAGCGCAUCUCUAGAAGCCAGGGAAAGCUAAACUGUGCCGGCGGUACACGUGCAUGGGACCCUGGGCAUUCUUAACAACACAGAGAACCCGUCGGCACUUAAAGACAAAGUCGUGGGGCAGAGGUGAAUACAUUCGGUUUGUGCACACACUUCUCUGCUGAGCUUGGCAUCUUUCCUGCCUCUCACGUGUUUCCCUCUCGGAACAACAUAAAAAAGUUUAAAUGUCAGAGGGAGGAAAACACACUGAAAAUUGUUGGCCAUAUUCCCGACAUUUUCCAUUCGCUGGAUGUCUCAGAGAUUAUGAGGUGAGGACAGACCAUUCCCUGCCCUCCUCUAGACACCUGCCAGUACGCACCAGGAAGAAAAUACCGAAAUCCUCUGCACUGCACCACGUGCUCACUGCAGACCCAGUGGUUUGUGGAGACUUCUGCCUCCUUCAGAGCUACACUUCAACCAGAACCCUGACUAGACGCUACUGCAACACCUGCUGUCGUCCUCUACCAAGACCUUGGGGAUGGAGUUUGCCUGAUUUAAUUCUCACUGCAAGCACUGUUGUUCUCAAUUAAUAUAUGUAUAACAUCAGAAUGGGAGAAGGGUUGAGAUGGGGGGCAGAAAAGACUAUUUUAAUCAGAACUCAAGGAUAUCAGGCAUUCCUAAUCACCUAGAAAUACACAUGAUUCAGUAAGUAGGAGCGGCUGAAAGUUUCUCACCAGUGUCUUGGGCUUGAUAAAUAAUGGAACACACAAACCUGAGAAACCAAUUCACUAGUAAGUUGCUUCUGUGCAUUUCGUUUUCAAGGAUGCAGGGAGGUGCUUACAGCCAGGAAGCCGGGAUCUCUGACACCUCAGGAAGGGGAGGAAGAGAUGUGUGUGGAAAUGAUUCAGGGGCAAAGAGGCAAGAGGAGGAGAAGGGCAAGGGACUGCGUCUCUCCUCACUAACGAUCCCUCAUUUUUUUUCCUCCUUCGUGCAGAAUAAAUGUUGUUCUGUGCACUGAGACAUGUGCGGAUGUGCACCACCAUUAGAAAGACAUGCCGUCGGUGGUGGGUGCUCUGCUAGUCAGCUGGGCGGCACUGGAAUCUCGCCUGGGUGGCCACCCAAGUGCUCAGCCUGCAGAGAACCCUGCCCUUAAUCCUAUGAGAAGGGGAGAGAAGAAGGUGAGCAGGGAAAAAGAGCGGAAUCUGGCCACACUGCAUUUUUCAGCCAGUGAUCACAGAAGCGCCCAGGGCGUGUGGGACGGUGUGAGAGAAAGGGGAAAGGAAGUGGGCAGAGCAUGGGAAGACAGACAGGGGCACUAGCCGAGACAGGGAACAAACCAGUGGGAAGAGUGGAGAUAACAGGAGGGGAAGGGGAGUAUUAAAUGUCUGAUCCUGGAUGGGGCGUGGUGACAGGGGCUUAAGUAGAAGCAGCUGCCACUGUCACAGACCCUCCGGCCCCUCCCCCACCCUCAAAGUCCCUUUCACACCCUGGAUCCCGUUUAUCUGAGGAAGUGACUUCUGCUGUUGAGAAACGUGUUUUGCUGCACUGCUGUGGCAGACAUUCUCCACACCGUCGUUUUUUCAGCCACGUCGUCUCGCAGGACCCAUCUUCCCACAGAUCCUUCUGUGGCUACCCCCAAGGAGAGGCCAUUUCCUUUGGGAGCUGGAGGGGCUAGGUCACUGAGAGUCUGCUGGUAUUUUACAUUGCUGCUGUCGGAUGAUCAUUGACAUCAGGUCCUUGUGUGCCGCAUUCCUGUCUUCUGGCAGUGCAGGGCUGCGUGGGGCUGCUGAUGUUCACUGCAGUAAGAGCAGUCUAAGAUUCAAGAGCAUAUCUUACUUGGUACCCAUGGGGGGCAGCUACCCCCACUUGGACCUGAAGGGUUUAAAGCAGGCUGGAGGGAACCGGCACAGAGCCCUGGCCAAUCAGAAAAGGGUUUAGAAGGAGCCAAUGAGAAGGCAGCUUGCUGGGGGCAGCUCUGGUUAUAAGAAGCUGCUCAGCAGAGCAGAGGGCAGUUGUGGCCUGACCAGGGAGGGGGGCAGGACUGGUUCCUAGAGGAGUGCUUGAGAGAAAGCGGGGCCGGGCAGGCUCAGGGGAGCUAGCAGAGGGCUCCAGCCUGAUGCCGGCCAGGCUGCAGGCCUGGAUACAGGGGCCAGGAAGGUGUAAGGACCACAGGGAAGGGACCAGGGAACAGGAGGCAUUUAAGAGAGCAGGUCAAGGCUACUGCCUUAGGGUCCUCAGGCUGGGACCCAGAGUAGUGGGCAGGCCCCCCCUUUCCCUCUUGCACAGCACCUAGCCACACUGAUGAGUGGCCUUUACAAACUGGGACUUGCCCCUGAAGCGAGGGGCUGGACUGAGGCUGCAGUUGGCUACAGAGGCUGGCACAAGGCUGCAGUCUGCUGGUACCCCGUGAAGGGGGCGAGCGACCAGUGUGGUGGGCAUUGCUGGAGGGCGGAGUCCCGAAAAGGAUGCCAUGGUUGGAGGGCAACGUGGUGUGACGUAGUGGGGGUACCUGGCUGGUUUCUAUUCUGCUGGCUCUGGGGUAACCUCCACUGGCUGCUGUGGGUACCACGACCCAGCAAAACAGGAUGAGUCACUAUGCAA